CAGCAGCCACGGUAAUACGAAUGGGGCUAGCGUUGCUCGGAAUCACUGGGCGUAAAGGGUGCGUAGGCGGGUCUUUAAGUCAGGGGUGAAAUCCUGGAGCUCAACUCCAGAACUGCCUUUGAUACUGAAGAUCUUGAGUUCGGGAGAGGUGAGUGGAACUGCGAGUGUAGAGGUGAAAUUCGUAGAUAUUCGCAAGAACACCAGUGGCGAAGGCGGCUCACUGACCCGAUACUGACGCCGAGGCACGAAAGCGUGGGGAGCAAACAGGAUUAGAUACCCCGGUAGUCCCUGUCUCUUAUAC
rnacentral:rRNA from 1 species